rnacentral:lncRNA from 1 species
GAAUGAAAUAGAUUGGAUGAAAGUUGAGAACAGAACUACAUGUCGAACUUGUGGCGAAGUAGGACAUAGUAGACGGACAUAUUCGAGAACCAGAGAAUGAAUAUUUUUUUGAAAUUGAUGAAAUUUGUAUUAUCAUCAGUUGUAAUGUGAUAUUACUUUUGUUCCGACUUGUAUCAAAUGUGUGUUUCUUUGAUUCAGUAUCAAAUAUGUGUUUAUUUGCAAAUGCCUUCUAUAGUAUUGCACACAUGGAGUCAGGGCUGGUAGAUCAGACGGUAUUACAUGGUUAGGUAUCUCAUCAGUCUUCCAUCAAUUGAGAUGGGCAGGUAUGUUUUUAUAUAACUAAUUUGCAUUUGUUCGAAUAUGAAGAUUUGAGGUAUCUUCUUUUCAAGUUUAUAGGAGCAUUCCUUUCUUAGAUGUCGACGGCGAGAGCUAGUCUUUACUCACUCGAUCCUGCUGGAUAUACGGAUAGUAUCACUUCUGCAACAGGCUAGUUUUUACGGUCUUAGCUGCAUGAUUUUAAUAUCACU